AGGGCGCCGGGCCCCCCUGGAGCUGGGGGGCCGGGGGCGGGGAGAGGCGCGCCGAGCCCAUGGCGCCUCCUUCCCCCUCCGACAGGAGCCGCUCCUCCGCCACCGCCGCCAUCUUGGGCCCUGUCCCCCUCCAGUCCUCGGCUGGGGGAGGGGGGACUUCCUGUGACAGCACUUCCGCCCGCCGCUCCGGGGAGCGCUCGGGGGGGGGAGGGGAGUGUCCUGGCCCGUCCCGGGUUGUGACCCCCUCGGGCGCCAGUGGCCUGAUCCCCCUGCAGGCCCCGUGCUGCCGCUGGAGCGGCCUAGGGGCGCCGCCGCCCUGAGCCCCCCGCUCUGUGACUAGCCCCCUCCCCCAGCCGCUAGCGCCCAGCUGCCCCCCCCGGGGGUGGCCAUAGGUCAAGACAGUGAUCCAAAACCAACUGGCCAUUGGUUUGGUACCGAUUCAAUGGAGGAGUGUCAACUAUAGAAUCACCAACACCACUUCCUACAUCACUGUGGAUGUUCCUUGAAAAUCCAACUUACUGCCAUUCAAGUACUGAACAGUCCAACCCUAAAGCUACAUAUUAACUGGAGUGGAUUUGUGGGAACACCUUAUGACAAGAAUCAGGCUCAGCAUAUUAAAGAGGUUAUCUCCCAGUAUAACCAGCUGGCAAACCUAGCAGUGAUUUUUCAACACAUUAUGGACAAGAUACAGCAAAGGAUUAGAAGAGCUGUGGAGAGAAGCAGCAGAGAUGCACUUGAGCAACUUGGACUCAGUUAAAGAAGAUGACAGGUUGCAGGAUGAGAAGAUGUAGAAUUUACUGAGCAUACAGAUCUGAUGCUGAAGGAAUGCAUUCAAUAACAGAAACUAUAGAGUUGUCACAGGUGUAGCAAAAGUGUGAAAAGCAGGAGUGCUGGUAAAGAAAUUGAUUUUUAUUUCUUGGACCCAUAUGGCAUGGGUCAGGGCAACAAAAGAUUAGGCCCCUAUCAUAUAGUAGGGGUAAUCUCCAUUGACUCCAGUGGCUACUGUUACAACCGGUGCCCACUAGCAGCCCAGAUCACCCCUCUGCUUAUGCAAGUGAAUAGGGUUGAUAUUAAGUGGAUCCCUCCUGAAAGAGCAUGAAGAGAAGAGGGAUGGCAUGUCUGCAUUGUCACCCCUCCCUUGGACUCUCUACAAGCUAUUCCAGAAGCAUUAACUUCUACUGGAUCCCUUCCUUUACUGCUUCUGAAUAGCUGCAUAGGGACACAGACAAUAGAACCAUGGCUGUUUCUGGAGCUAUGCUGCCAGAAGUGGGGGCCAGAGAAGCAUCACAAACAGGGCUGGAUUAAGCUUUUGUGGGCCCAGUGCCAAACAUAUUUGUGGCCCCUAUGGAGGCAAUGGACCAUGGCGCGGGGAGGUUACUCCCCGGAGCAAGGGGCCAGCCAGAGGCAAUGGGGCCAUCCAUGGCAGAGGCAGCCCCACGCCCCCCAUGCAAGGUCCCUAUUUACAAACCGGCAGUUGCCAGAUGCACACUGGCUUGCCCUGUCCUGUGCUGCCAGCAUUCCCUUUCCCCUCAGGGGCAGGCCUAUGCCGUGCCAUACAGCCCCCCCGCCCAACACCCCCUGACUCCCUGUGGCUGGAGGCCCCCCAGACCCACCCACAAAUGCACAG